rnacentral:rRNA from 1 species
UACGUAGGGUCCGAGCGUUGUCCGGAAUUACUGGGCGUAAAGAGCUCGUAGGUGGUUUGUCGCGUUGUCCGUGAAAACUCACAGCUCAACUGUGGGCGUGCGGGCGAUACGGGCAGACUGGAGUACUGCAGGGGAGACUGGAAUUCCUGGUGUAGCGGUGGAAUGCGCAGAUAUCAGGAGGAACACCAGUGGCGAAGGCGGUUCUCUGGCCCGAUACUGACGCUGAGGCACGAAAGCGUGGGGAGCAAACAGG